rnacentral:tRNA from 1 species
GUCCCGAUAGCUCAGUCGGAUAGAGCAUUCGUUUCCUAAACGAUGUGUCGUGGGUUCGAAUCCCAUUCGGGGCC